UUUCCGUAGGUGAACCUGCGGAAGGAUCAUUAACACGAAUCCCCUUUCUUAUAUAAACCACUUUACUCGCUCGCCGAAAGGCGGGUGGCGAACUAUGAAGGCUUUCUUCCGGAGCAGAAAAGAGAAGCGCCUCACGGUGUUUGUCUUUUUUGCGAUGGCUCUGCGUAAGAUGGAUAGAUGACAGCAGAGAGCGGGAAGUCGGUCGGCCGGCGCCUUGCAGCGCUUGUCGGCUAAAUUACGGUCAUUUGUCUACCUUAUUAAACCCCACUUAUACCUUUUUGUCGAAAACUCUAUAAUCCCUUUUGUUGCUUAACGGCGAUGAAAGGCCUUAUAAAAACCUAUACAACUUUUAGCAAUGGAUGUCUAGGCUCUC
rnacentral:misc_RNA from 1 species